AAUCAUGGCUAGCGAGGACUGCGUCGUUUUGUUUGCUGACUGCAGACGGACAGCUGCGAACUAGGGGGCAAGAAGCAGCAGUGGCAGGACCAUUUUCUGGAUUUGGAGCACAAUUCAGCUAUUUUCCACCCCUAUCUCCUCUGCUCCCAGCACAGACACACUAAUCAGCCUUGCUGUCCUUAAAGGAGGGAGGGGAAACCUGAAUUCCUGUUUCCAUCACUCAGUAUUUUUACCCCCCACCAAAGUUUUACUGAUAAGAAAGGAUUAACGCCCCCACCCUGUAAUAGAGUUGGAAGGAUGAAUAACAGUACACGCUAAGUUACAAGAUCCAACUGCGUCUCUGGUGGGCAUCUUAUCGAGGGUCUUUUUAAAAGGGCGUGGGGAAAUUAGGCGUUAUACAAACUUUACAGUUGACUGUUUAAAUGUAAGCCCUAAGGGUGUGUGUGUGCACAAAACCCUUUAAAAAUACAUUAUUCCUCAACCUCUUUUUUGGGGGGGGAAGUAGACUUUUGGGGAGGACUAUAAGGAAGGUUGUUUCUCCGUGAGAGAUGAAGAGCGCCAGACCCUGGAUGUGGGAGUGGAAGACCCUAUAGAAAGAUAAUGGCAGCAAGUUUAUUUGUCUUUUAAAAAGAAGGAAUCUUAACUGUGUUUUUUAAAAAGAAAAGCAGCAAAAAAGAAGAGGCAAGGAAGAUAAGCUGAGGACAGAAAUAGAAGAAGAGAUGGGACAUCCACAUGCUUAUUAAGUUCUGCUUUGUGAACGGCGGAAGAAGAUUGUCAAAUUGGCUGAAAGAGCGAGUUCUCAAUAACGUGUCACAUGGAACUAGCAUCAAGUUAGAAACCUGAUAAGGUAAGACAUUAUUUACCAGAGUAAGUAACCUCAUUCUUUGGUAUUAGUAAAGUAUAAUAUAACAGGGAAUCCUGACAAGAUGAACUGAAAGAAAAAAAGCAACAUUUUUUGUGGUAGCAUAAGAAGACCUCAUCUUGGAUCUGUUGUUUAUGUAUAGCAAGAUGUUGGUUCAGUAUUUAUGUUCAGUACAGACCGCAAGCUAGAAGGGAUACCAUCACACUCUCCUUGUGAUGCAAAUGGCAGGCACUGAUACAAAGCUUUGCAUCAGUUGAUUCAUUUCUGACUGGUGAUAGUUUUCCCAUGCUGCACUGUAAUGAUCUUAUCUUCCAGUGUGAUUGUGUGUAGGCAAGGGAAGGGUAGAGAAGGGAACAGGCGGGAUUAUAAAGAAAGCAAAAUAGGUGAUUAAAAAUGCGUCGUGAGGGAUGCCUUGUUUUCACACUCUUCUCAUGAGUACUUUUUUACCACUAGCUAAUGCCCUAACUUAGCUUCACAUGCCAGUGUCCCUGGAUGCUCAAACAGAAAUGAGCAGCACUCCACAAAUCUGAAAAGUGUUACCAUGUAGAUUAAAAUGUUUAUUUGCUUCUGUUCAGUCUGAUGGUUUUGUUUUUAUCAUAAUGAGGUAAAUGUUGUGUAUAGAACAUACUGCUAGGAAGACAGAGGAUAAUUAAUACAGGGUCCUGUAUAUACCGAGUGCUCAAAGAAGAGCAUUAGUAAUAGUGGCAACUGUUCAUAAGCCACAUAAUGCUUUGUUCGUCUUUUGUUUAAAAUGUAAAGCAGUGGCACUUUAAAAACAAAAAAUGCAGUGUUCCUUGUCUAUUUCCAUUACUUCUGUUACUACAUCUUGGUAAAUGUCUCCCAUUAACAGAAAAUUAAUAUGAGUGUAGAACAGUUUAUAGUUUUCUCAUUGCUUAUCACUGAAGAAUUGUUUGGGAAAUAGUUUGUCAUAUCAGAAUGUGCUAAAUAUCAGUCAAAUUCUUCAAAACCCCUUUGUAUUAUAUAUGGAAGAACAUCUACCAGUUAAAACACAUAAUUGGUAGUUGAGACAUAUCCUGUAUUUCUGACUCUGCAACAGACUACCUAUGUGAUCUUGGGUGAUUCGCUUAUCUCUGUGCCUUAUUGCCCCCAUUAAUAAAAUGGGAAUAAUACCUACCUCA
ensembl:lncRNA